AGCAAAAUGAUGAGGUUUUAAUAUCUGAAUAUUAUGUGGAUUCCUAAUUUAAAUGGUCUUCAAAGUUCUCUGAUUGCU